GAUGAAGAACGUAGCGAAAUGCGAUAAGUAAUGUGAAUUGCAGAAUUCAGUGAAUCAUCGAAUCUUUGAACGCACCUUGCACCCUUUGGCAUUCCGAAGGGUAUGCUCGUUUGAGUGUCAUUGUGCUCUCACACUUCCAAUCUUUGGAUUGGGAGCGGUGGACUUGGGUGUUGCUGCUUACUGUGGCUCACCUCAAAUCGAUUCGUGCACCUCUUGGUUGGACAUAGUACGGCGUGAUAAGUGUCUUCGCCGGCACCUCAGUAGAGGGUGGCUGAUCAGGAGCUCUGUGUUUCAAACCGUCCUCGGACAACAACUGACAACUUGACCUCAAAUCGAGUAGGACUACCCGCUGAACUUAAGCAUAUCAAUAAGCGGAGGA
rnacentral:misc_RNA from 1 species